rnacentral:rRNA from 1 species
UCGAGAAUCUUCCACAAUGGACGCAAGUCUGAUGGAGCGACGCCGCGUGCGGGAAGAAGGCCUUCGGGUUGUAAACCGCUGUCAGAGGGGAGUAAGCAAUGAACGAACCUCAGAGGAAGCACGGGCUAAGUUCGUGCCAGCAGCCGCGGUAAGACGAACCGUGCGAACGUUGUUCGGAAUCACUGGGCAUAAAGGGUGCGUAGGCGGGAGGCCAAGUCCGAAGUGAAAUCCCACCGCUCAACGGUGGAAUAGCUUUGGAAACUGGUAUUCUGGAGGAAGGUAGGGGCAGGCGGAACUUCCGGUGGAGCGGUGAAAUGCGUAGAGAUCGGAAGGAACACCGAUGGCGAAGGCAGCCUGCUGGACCUUGUCUGACGCUGAGGCACGAAAGCUAGGGUAGCGAACGGGAUUAGAUACCCCCGUAGUCC